UGGGGAAUUUUGGACAAUGGGCGAAAGCCUGAUCCAGCAAUGCCGCGUGUGUGAAGAAGGCCUUCGGGUUGUAAAGCACUUUUGUCCGGAAAGAAAUGGCUCUGGUUAAUACCUGGGGUCGAUGACGGUACCGGAAGAAUAAGGACCGGCUAACUACGUGCCAGCAGCCGCGGUAAUACGUAGGGUCCAAGCGUUAAUCGGAAUUACUGGGCGUAAAGCGUGCGCAGGCGGUUGUGCAAGACCGAUGUGAAAUCCCCGAGCUUAACUUGGGAAUUGCAUUGGUGACUGCACGGCUAGAGUGUGUCAGAGGGGGGUAGAAUUCCACGUGUAGCAGUGAAAUGCGUAGAGAUGUGGAGGAAUACCGAUGGCGAAGGCAGCCCCCUGGGAUAACACUGACGCUCAUGCACGAAAGCGUGGGGAGCAAACAGGAUUAGAUACCCUGGUAGUCCACGCCCUAAACGAUGUCAACUAGUUG
rnacentral:rRNA from 1 species